GAUGUGCUCGGGGCUCCAUGGGGAAGAGGCAGGGAGGAGAGAGUGGCGAUGUCCUGCUGGGCUCAGUCAGUCAGUGUCAGGCUGAUGUGCUCGGGGCUCCGUGGGGAAGAGGCAGGGAGGAGAGAGUGGCCAUGUGCAUGAUGCCUGCUGCUGCAUGGUGCUAUGUAUGUAUUUAUUUAUUUAUUUAUGUAUGUAUGUAUGUACAGAGUACUGUAUAUGUGUGUAUGUAAGUACAUUGUCUAUGUAUAUGUACAGACAGUGUAUAUGUAGGUGUGUACAGUGUGCAUGUAUGUAUGUAUGUAUGUACAGUGUGUAUGUAUGUAUGUAUGUACAGUUUGUAUGUUUGUGUUUACAAUGUAUAUCUGUAUGUGUGUACAGUGUGUAUGUAUGUGUGUGUACAUGUAUGUGUGUACAGUGUGUAUGUAUGUACAGAGUACUGUACAUGUAUGUAAGUACAUUGUCUAUGUAUGUACAGUGUAUAUGUAUGUGUGUACAGUGUGUGUGUAUGUACCUAUGGAUGUACAAUGUAUAUGUAUUGUAUGUAUGUACAGAGUACUGUAUAUAUGUGUAUGUAGGUACAUUGUCUAUGUAUGUACAGUGUAUAUGUAUGUGUGUUCAGUAUGUAUGUAUGUAUGUAUGUAUGUAUGUGUUUGUACAGUGUAUAUGUAUGUGUGUACAGUGUAUUUGUAUGUGUAUACAGUAUGUAUGUGUAUGUACAGUGUAUAUGUAUGUGUGUGUAUAGUGUUUAUGUAUGUACAGUGUAUAUGUAUGUGUAUAUGUGUAUGUACAUGGUGUAUGUGUGUACAGUGUCUGUAUGUAUGUGUGUACAGUGUGUGUAUAGUGUAUAUGUAUGUACAGUGUAUAUGUAUGUGUGUAUAGUGUAUAUGUAUGUACAGUGUAUAUGUAUGUAUGUAUGUAUGUAUGUAUGAACAGUGUGUGUAUAUAUGUGUGUACAGCUGGGCCAUAGUUGGCUACCCUCCCACCUUCUGCGGGAGACUCAGUUCACGGUGGAGUUUCCCGCUGCCCCAUAUUUUACAUGAAUUCCCCCAAAUUAAAUUGCAACAUCCUUAAUCAGGAUUGCACAAGUGUGAGUCCAUAUACGACAGGGUGGGUCCUGGACGAGAGGACUGGGCCAGAAGCAAACCCUAUCCACGAGCCUGCUGGUUCCCCCACCCACCUCCUGACCAAAAAACAUCUGACAAGAGCCGUCAAGAAAGGACCCCUCUGCCCCCAUCUAGAUCCCUGCUACACUGAUCAUCUGGCAAAGAGAUUUGCAGAGUGUCGGGUGACCGGCAAAGAGAUCUGCAAAGUGUCAGUUGAAGACGACGGGAGGGGUCGCAGAGGUAGCAACGACUGGAGUAUAACAUGAAGGUGAUCAUCAUUUGGCAAAGUUCUGGCAAAGAGAAUUGCAGAGUGUCGGGUGACCGGCAAAGAGAUCUGCAAAGUGUCAGUUGAAGACGACGGGAGGGGUCGCAGAGGAAUUAGUGACUGGAGAAUAGCAUGCAGGAGUGGGUGAUGCUUGAAUAGCUGCCCUGGGAGGAGAGCUGCGGACACAUGCUCCAAAUGUUGGGACAUAGGCAUUACCUAUUAGGAGAUGCGGUAAAGAUGCCGGCUGACGGGUUUAUGGCAGUCAGAAUACUGACACUGGGAUCCCGACACUCUUCAGACUCCCGACGUUGGAACUUCGAAUGGACAAAGAUUCCGACGCCCGUUUCCCCACGAUCAUAUGUUUAGGGCUGGGCAAGGGGGGUUAGGUUUAGGCGUCAGGCGGGGGGUUAGGGUUAGGCUGCAGGUGGUGAAGGGUAAGGAUAUGCUGCGGAUACGGUGGAUUAGGCACCCCCGGGGGUGGUUAGGCUGCGUGGGAGAGAGGGUUAGGUUUAGGCAUCAGGCGGGAGGGUUAGGUUUAGGCGUUAGGC